CAACAAACGAGAUGUGAGCAUCAUCUUAAAGGAAAAUACUAUCUCUUGAAAAUUACUAUUAUUUUUUGGUUCAUUCAGAGUUUUUACAAGUUUUCUAAUACUGUAAAAUAGCGUCCCCCAAGAUACAGUUCAAGGCAAGAAUGUCCUCAACCUUAUCACCUUUAAUCCACAUUCAAGACCAACAAUGCGAGGUUUCUUAGAAGAACAGACUUCAGAUUUCUCUAUGGAGAAAUUGCCUUCUUAGUACUGACAGCUAAUAAACAUCUUGCCCCCCAAACUCAGUCUGUGUCUGCAUCAAGAAAACCCAACUUGUGAAAACAUCAAGUGAGUUUAUUAUGUAGGCGAAUUCACUCCCUUGUGCGAAAAUCAGUCAGAGGGGUACAACAAAGUGGUCAGGAACUUAGACCUAGAAUAAAGCCAACAUGUGCCAUGGA